GCAACGCGAAGAACCUUACCAGGCCUUGACAUGCUAGGGAACCCGGUGAAAGCCUGGGUGCCCCGCGAGGGGAGCCCUAGCACAGGUGCUGCAUGGCCGUCGUCAGCUCGUGCCGUGAGGUGUUGGGUUAAGUCCCGCAACGAGCGCAACCCUUGUCCUUAGUUGCCAGCAUUCAGUUGGGCACUCUAAGGAGACUGCCGGUGUCAAACCGGAGGAAGGUGGGGAUGACGUCAAGUCCUCAUGGCCCUUAUGUCCAGGGCUACACACGUGCUACAAUGGCCGGUACAAAGGGGCGCAAGACCGCGAGGUGGAGCAAAUCCCAAAAAACCGGUCUCAGUUCGGAUUGGAGUCUGCAACUCGACUCCAUGAAGUUGGAAUCGCUAGUAAUCGCGUAUCAGCAUGACGCGGUGAAUACGUUCCCGGGCCUU
rnacentral:rRNA from 1 species